GAUGAACGCUGGCGGCGUGCCUAAUACAUGCAAGUCGAGCGAACAGAUGAGGAGCUUGCUCCUCUGACGUUAGCGGCGGAAGGGUGAGUAACACGUGGAUAACCUACCUAUAAGACUGGGAUAACUUCGGGAAACCGGAGCUAAUACCGGAUAAUAUAUUGAACCGCAUGGUUCAAUAGUGAAAGACGGUUUUGCUGUCACUUAUAGAUGGAUCCGCGCCGCAUUAGCUAGUUGGUAAGGUAACGGCUUACCAAGGCAACGAUGCGUAGCCGACCUGAGAGGGUGAUCGGCCACACGGGAAGUGAGACGCGGUCCAGACUCCUACGGGAGGCAGCAGUAGGGAAUCGUCCGCAAUGGGCGAAAGCCUGACGGAGCAACGCCGCGUGAGUGAUGAAGGUCUUCGGAUCGUAAAACUCUGUUAUUAGGGAAGAACAAAUGUGUAAGUAACUAUGCACGUCUUGACGGUACCUAAUCAGAAAGCCACGGCUAACUACGUG
rnacentral:rRNA from 1 species